rnacentral:rRNA from 1 species
UACGUAGGGUGCGAGCGUUAAUCGGAAUUACUGGGCGUAAAGCGUGCGCAGGCGGCUUUGCAAGACAGAUGUGAAAUCCCCGGGCUUAACCUGGGAACUGCAUUUGUGACUGCAUGGCUGGAGUGCGGCAGAGGGGGAUGGAAUUCCGCGUGUAGCAGUGAAAUGCGUAGAUAUGCGGAGGAACACCGAUGGCGAAGGCAAUCCCCUGGGCCUGCACUGACGCUCAUGCACGGAAGCGUGGGGAGCAAACAGG